rnacentral:rRNA from 1 species
CAUGCAAGUCGAGCGGUAGCACAGAGAGCUUGCUCUCGGGUGACGAGCGGCGGACGGGUGAGUAAUGUCUGGGAAACUGCCUGAUGGAGGGGGAUAACUACUGGAAACGGUAGCUAAUACCGCAUAAUGUCGCAAGACCAAAGUGGGGGACCUUCGGGCCUCAUGCCAUCAGAUGUGCCCAGAUGGGAUUAGCUAGUAGGUGGGGUAACGGCUCACCUAGGCGACGAUCCCUAGCUGGUCUGAGAGGAUGACCAGCCACACUGGAACUGAGACACGGUCCAGACUCCUACGGGAGGCAGCAGUGGGGAAUAUUGCACAAUGGGCGCAAGCCUGAUGCAGCCAUGCCGCGUGUGUGAAGAAGGCCUUCGGGUUGUAAAGCACUUUCAGCGGGGAGGAAGGCGUUAAGGUUAAUAACCUUGUCGAUUGACGUUACCCGCAGAAGAAGCACCGGCUAACUCCGUGCCAGCAGCCGCGGUAAUACGGAGGGUGCAAGCGUUAAUCGGAAUUACUGGGCGUAAAGCGCACGCAGGCGGUCUGUCAAGUCGGAUGUGAAAUCCCCGGGCUCAACCUGGGAACUGCAUUCGAAACUGGCAGGCUAGAGUCUUGUAGAGGGGGGUAGAAUUCCAGGUGUAGCGGUGAAAUGCGUAGAGAUCUGGAGGAAUACCGGUGGCGAAGGCGGCCCCCUGGACAAAGACUGACGCUCAGGUGCGAAAGCGUGGGGAGCAAACAGGAUUAGAUACCCUGGUAGUCCACGCCGUAACGAUGUCGAUUUGGAGGUUGUGCCCUUGAGGCGUGGCUUCCGGAGCUAACGCGUUAAAUCGACCGCCUGGGGAGUACGGCCGCAAGGUUAAAACUCAAAUGAAUUGACGGGGGCCCGCACAAGCGGUGGAGCAUGUGGUUUAAUUCGAUGCAACGCGAAGAACCUUACCUGGUCUUGACAUCCACAGAACUUUCCAGAGAUGGAUUGGUGCCUUCGGGAACUGUGAGACAGGUGCUGCAUGGCUGUCGUCAGCUCGUGUUGUGAAAUGUUGGGUUAAGUCCCGCAACGAGCGCAACCCUUAUCCUUUGUUGCCAGCGGUUAGGCCGGGAACUCAAAGGAGACUGCCAGUGAUAAACUGGAGGAAGGUGGGGAUGACGUCAAGUCAUCAUGGCCCUUACGACCAGGGCUACACACGUGCUACAAUGGCAUAUACAAAGAGAAGCGACCUCGCGAGAGCAAGCGGACCUCAUAAAGUAUGUCGUAGUCCGGAUUGGAGUCUGCAACUCGACUCCAUGAAGUCGGAAUCGCUAGUAAUCGUAGAUCAGAAUGCUACGGUGAAUACGUUCCCGGGCCUUGUACACACCGCCCGUCACACCAUGGGAGUGGGUUGCAAAAGAAGUAGGUAGCUUAACCUUCGGGAGGGCGCUACC